rnacentral:rRNA from 1 species
CAGCACCGCGGUAAUACAGAGGGUGCGAGCGUUAAUCGGAUUUACUGGGCGUAAAGCGUGCGUAGGCGGCUAAUUGAGUCGGAUGUGAAAUCCCCGAGCUUAACUUGGGAAUUGCAUUCGAUACUGGUUAGCUAGAGUGUGGGAGAGGAUGGUAGAAUUCCAGGUGUAGCGGUGAAAUGCGUAGAGAUCUGGAGGAAUACCGAUGGCGAAGGCAGCCAUCUGGCCUAACACUGACGCUGAGGUACGAAAGCAUGGGGAGCAAACAGGAUUAGAUACCCCCGUAGUCCCUGUCUCUUAUACA